rnacentral:tRNA from 1 species
CAUCAGAUGACUGAAAGUAAGUAAUGGUCUCUUAAACCAAUUUAUAGUAAUUAACAUCUACUUCUGAUGA